CUCUCGGUCUCGCCCGAUUCACGCCGCCGUGCGCCUGCACCUGACCCCUGCGCACGCCCUCCAAAAAUCGCCGCCGCGCGCCCCGCCGCCCAACAGUUCCGCGCUGUCCCGCUGCCCCCGCCGCCGCAGUGCCGUGCUGCCCGGCUGCCUCUUGUGUAUAAUAUUACCUCUUAGUCUGAAAACCCUAGGUCCCCAUCUCCCUCCACUCCUCAGAUUCAGAUCCAGCCCCCUCCUCUCCAUCGACGCCUCCUCCUCAAAUCCUCCACAGGAGGCGAGCUAGUGGCGGCCCCGCAGGUGCUCGGCGGCGAGCGAUGGCCCCCAGGCGGCACGCUGCGCUGGGGCUCGGCGGUAGUACAGCAGCGGGCGCGCGCGGUGCAGGGGCGCAGACCCGCGGCGGCAUGGCCGUGCGGACUGAGCGGCUAAGGGGCAAGGCCUGGGGUGUCUAGCGCCUCUUCUCCCUUGCCUGCGCGGGCUCGCAGUUGGUCGCCGGCGUCGUGCAUCUGUGUGGGCAUGCGGCUAUGGCCGGCGGGCCCUGCAGCGUUCCACACGCAACCUGAGCAGCACGGUGACGUGCAGGCUGCCAAGCUGCACAAUAGAGCCAGGAUAUCUUUGAAGAAAUUCAGAAAAGAUUUGACAACAAUCUGGAGGCAUACAGUUUGUAUUGGUGCACUGCAAGGCAAGAAGGAGCUGCAUUUGGGUUCGAAUUGAAAGGAUAAUCUCAGUAACCAGGGAGUUGUCAAUGAUAUAUAGUUUUUGACAUAGUGCCUGGACAUCGACGGCUUUGAGGAACUUCUGGAAUAUGCUAGGCAACAGCUUGUCAACAACAAUCCAAUCAAAGUGCUGAUCCAGUUUGGCUGUGUAUUGAUAUGUCAAGUUAGGAUGUCUUCAUGAUUGAUGGACAUCGUGAGCUAUAUGUUUAGCUAGGAUCUAGUCAUGUUUAGCUAAGAUCUAGUCUGAUGUUAUAUGACACUAGAUCUAGUAUGCUAGCUACUCUUUUGUUCUUAUGUGACUACAUGAAUGAAUCAAAGUUUGUAUGGCUAUUGUGGUCCCUUGCAUUGUGAUGAAUGAUACGUACGUGGAUAGUAGAUUAAUUGAUUUUUUGGUUGAAUAUAUACUAACUAA